AACUUUGUUUUCCAAUUCGGAGUUAAUUCAGGAAGCAACAGAAAAGCAUGCUAUUAUCUUUUUAAGUACAUUCAAGAGAAGCCCUGCACACAAGGGUAUGUGUUCAUAUUCCUCAUGCUGGUAUAUAUGCUAUCCUCAAAACUUCAUGCCAACCAGGUUGUACCUUCUUUAAAGACAAUGGACCUGUCCUACCAUUCCUACUGAGAUUGCUCAAAUGAUCAGUCCACUGUGCUGAUGAAUGUUCAGUAAAUGUAGCUGAAUACUGAAAGGGAAUAAAGGAAUUCAAAACUAUUGUGAAUUUUGAAAA
rnacentral:lncRNA from 1 species